CCUACGGGGGGCAGCAGUGGGGAAUAUUGCGCAAUGGGCGAAAGCCUGACGCAGCGACGCCGCGUGAGGGAUGAAGGUCUUCGGAUCGUAAACCUCUGUCAGCAGGGAAGAACGGUCACUGUGCUAAUCAGCAGUGAAUUGACGGUACCUGCAAAGGAAGCACCGGCUAACUCCGUGCCAGCAGCCGCGGUAAUACGGAGGGUGCGAGCGUUAAUCGGAAUUACUGGGCGUAAAGCGCUCGUAGGCGGUAUGUCAAGUCAAGGGUGAAAUCCCCGCGCUUAACGUGGGAACUGCCUUUGAAACUGGAAAACUGGAGUGUGUGAGAGGAUAGUGGAAUUCCAGGUGUAGGAGUGAAAUGCGUAGAUAUCUGGAGGAACAUCAGUGGCGAAGGCGACUAUCUGGCACAUAACUGACGCUGAGGAGCGAAAGCGUGGGUAGCAAACAGGAUUAGAUACCCCAGUAGUC
rnacentral:rRNA from 1 species